GCAAGUCAAGGGUUAAAUUCAGCGGUUUGGACUCUUUUGAGUAUGCAAACUCCUCAAAAAGUCGAUAUGGAAGUGGAGAAUUCUUCACAGAAUUUGAAUUUGCCGGAAUCCAAAUCGCCGGUGGUGAAACAGGGUCAAGUUUCCAGUGAAAGAAGAACUCGAUCUCAAACGGGUGCUGUUCGUAGGGAGCCUCUGAAAAAAGCCCUAAACUUCGUUAGUAAGAAAUCGAGGGUGUAUGGGAAGAAUCAGGUGAAAAAGUCGAAAAAGAGGAAGCGGUUGAAGAAUGCUGAUGCGGGUGUUGUUGCUUUACCCAAAAGGAGAAAGGGGAAUGCUGGAGAAGCGAUGGAUAAAGCUUUGGUCGUGGAUUUGGAGCCCGGGGAGUUUUGUGCUCGACCAGUCAGGCGCUACCACCCAAGGGUUGGGGCACAAACUAAUGUUGAUGCUGUUAAGUUGUUGAAUGAAAAGUUGGAUGCUAAGCAGAUUCAGAUGUUCAGGGAAACCUGUUUCGGGCAUUUCCUUGAUUUGCCCCCAGUAGUGGUACAACAUCAGUUGGCACACUCCCUACUGUUGAGGGAGGUGGUUGAGGAGGAAGAGGAUGCGCUAUGGAUAUCAAUGAAAGAUAUCAGUCUGCGAUUUGGGCUUGUCGAGUUUGGGAUUAUCACCGGGUUAAAGUGUACUGGUGAUGCUUAUAAAUGCAGUGAUUCCGAUGGAACGG
rnacentral:misc_RNA from 1 species